rnacentral:rRNA from 1 species
UCGAGAAUCUUCCGCAAUGGGCGAAAGCCUGACGGAGCGACGCCGCGUGGAGGAUGAAGGCCUUCGGGUUGUAAACUCCUGUCACGAGUUAAGAAGGGAAUGCAGCGAACAGCUGUAGAUCUUGACGUAAGCUCGAGAGGAAGCACUGGCUAACUCUGUGCCAGCAGCCGCGGUAAUACAGAGAGUGCAAACGUUGUUCGGAAUCACUGGGCUUAAAGAGCACGUAGGCGGCAUCGUAAGUGUCGGGUGAAAUCCCACGGCUCACCCGUGGAACUGCCCGGCAGACUGCGAUGCUUGAGUGUGGUAGGGGAAAGCGGAACUCCUGGUGGAGCGGUGAAAUGCGUAGAUAUCAGGAGGAACACCGGUGGCGAAGGCGGCUUUCUGGUCCACAACUGACGCUGAGGUGCGAAAGCUAGGGGAGCAAACG